AAACUUCGUAGGGUAAAGUCUUUGUGGUAUAAACGUGGUAUUUGAAUCUGCGUUGACGUGUAAGCGGCAAAAUAAAGAAUACGUAUGGAAAUACUGUGCCGUAAAUGUGGCAAUGAGUGUGAAACUCUCAAUCGAAGAUGAACGUAAUAAGGGCUCAAUUCAGGGAAACGCAAACCGGACUGACACGAGAACAGAAAUCAAAGUUUUAUGUUUUGACAUUAGCUCAUUGAGUCAAAUUCGGCAGGUUGUGAUAUGCUCCGUAGGAGUUUUUGGAUUUUAUUUGCUGUAUGGUUACCUGCAGGAGUUAAUAUUUACCCUUGAUGGUUUUAAGCCUUAUGGAUGGUAUCUAACCUUGGUACAAUUUGCUUACUAUACUGUUUUUGGAUUUGUGGAAACAUCUGUAAAAAAUGUGACUAGAAAAAUACCAAUCAAAACAUACUUGCUCCUGGCUAUGUUGACGUUGGGCACAAUGGGCUUCUCCAAUUCAUCUCUUGGCUACCUUAACUAUCCAACCCAGGUUAUUUUCAAAUGCUGUAAACUGAUACCAGUUUUGAUUGGCAGCAUACUGAUUCAGCACAAGCGUUAUGGUUUACUAGAUUUUGCUGCGGCUGGCUGUAUGUGCUUGGGUCUGACACUGUUCACUCUUGCAGACAGUCAGGUCUCUCCUAAAUUUAGUGUUCUAGGAGUGUGUAUGAUUUCGUGUGCGCUUUUGUGUGAUGCUGCUAUUGGAAAUGUUCAGGAGAAAUCCAUGAAACAGUACAAAGCAGCAAACAGUGAAGUUGUGCUGUAUUCAUACUCCAUUGGAUUCCUGUACCUACUGUCUGUUAUGUUUUUCACUGGUGAUUUACACCAAGGAAUCAAUUUUUGUUCCCAGCACCCCUUGGAGACAUAUGGCUACGCAUUGCUAUUCUCAGUAUCUGGUUACCUUGGAAUCCAAAUUGUACUGACACUCGUACGCACAAGUGGGGCCUUUGCCGCUGCUACCGUCACCACAUGUCGCAAGGCUGUGUCCAUUAUCAUCUCCUUCAUAUUCUUUGACAAGCCAUUCACAUUCCAGAGCAAUGGACAAGAAUAACUGCUGGCCUGUAAAUGAAGGUCUUCCUGCCGGGGAGAGUGGCAGAGGACACUCCUGUACUACACAGACGUAAUAAUAGCUUCAAACAAGCGACUUCCCUCAUGUUUCCAGUCAGUAAUGAUAUGUAUGGUCUGGCAUGCUUGUUGUACUGGGAAUUUACAUAAAUGUGUACAGCAAGAACAGAGGUAAAACAGACAUUCCAGAACUGUUUGGGAAUGUACAACGAAAACUUCAACAUUUGUUAAUAAAACUG
rnacentral:misc_RNA from 1 species